rnacentral:rRNA from 1 species
GACGAACCGUGCGAACGUUAUUCGGAAUCACUGGGCUUAAAGCGCGUGUAGGCGGGCCGCCGCGGCGGGUGCUGAAAUCCCCCGGCUCAACCGGGGAAGGGGCACCGAUACGGGCGGCCUGGAGGGGGGUAGGGGGGUCUGGAACUUCCGGUGGAGCGGUGAAAUGCGUUGAGAUCGGAAGGAACGCCCGUGGCGAAAGCGAGGCCCUGGACCCUUACUGACGCUGAGACGCGAAAGCCAGGGGAGCGAACGGG